CCCUGCCAUUUGUACACACCGCCCGUCGCUACUACCGAUUGGAUGGUCCGGUGAGAACUCUGGAUUGCGGUCGCUGCGGAGGUUCGCCUUCGCAUCGCUGCGAGAAGUUGAUCGAACCUUAUCAUCUAGAGGAA
rnacentral:rRNA from 1 species